GCGUCCGGUUUAGUGGUAGAAUGCUCGCCUGCCACGCGGGUGGCCCGGGUUCGAUUUCCGGCCGAUGCA
rnacentral:tRNA from 1 species